rnacentral:rRNA from 1 species
UACGUAGGGUGCAAGCGUUGUCCGGAAUUAUUGGGCGUAAAGAGCUCGUAGGCGGUCUGUUGCGUCGGCUGUGAAAACCCGGGGCUCAACUCCGGGCCUGCAGCCGAUACGGGCAGACUAGAGUUCGGCAGGGGAGACUGGAAUUCCUGGUGUAGCGGUGAAAUGCGCAGAUAUCAGGAGGAACACCGGUGGCGAAGGCGGGUCUCUGGGCCGAUACUGACGCUGAGGAGCGAAAGCGUGGGGAGCGAACGGG